UCAGAAAAACAAUUUCCUCUCACCUCUCUCUAUGACAACAAAAGCUCUGCUAGGGCAUAGAGAAAACUCCAUCUUCGAGCUAGUUCAGUCGUCCUCUUCCGUUCACCAUCCUAGUCUGUGGAGCCGUCGUGCCUAAGUCGUGCUCUUUAAGUUGUUGUCCCUUUUCUUGCAUCAAAAAGAUGGAGGAAAUUCUGGGAGUAGGCCUGGUGGUGGCAGUGGCGCAACUUAGCGGAUCUGUUUGUGUGCCUCUCAGGAGCAUUCUAUGGUCCUAGUGCCUAUUGUAAUCCCUUGCUCUAGGAGCUUUUCUUUUGUUUAACUGUGAACUUUGUUGUUUCUGUUUUGACUAUGACGUAGUUAUAUGCCUAGAACCCCUUUUGAGUACAUUCUUGAAUGACUGUAACAGUUGGGUUUCUUAUGUAUGUUGUUCCAAAUCUGACUGCUCUUUAUUAUGAC